rnacentral:tRNA from 1 species
GGUUCCAUGGCCCAAUGGAUAAGGCGCUGGUCUACGAAACCAGAGAUUCUGAGUUCGAUACUCAGUGGAAUCG